AAUUACUUUAACCAGCCGCAACGUAAAGUCCCUGGAGAAAGUGUGUGCUGACUUAAUCAGAGGUGCAAAGGAAAAGAAUCUCAAGGUGAAAGGACCAGUUCGGAUGCCAACCAAGACAUUGAGAAUCACUACAAGAAAAACACCUUGUGGUGAAG